CGGCUCUCUCUCUCCGCCUUCAUUCGCACGCGCAUCCAUCGGCCCGACCGCGACCACCGCCGAAGCCGCAGCUACGUUCUCCACAGGCGUCGCAGGCGGCCACGAUCUCGCUGCGGAGCGGGGACCGAAGCUCGCGUGGUCCCUCCAUCGCGACGCAACUGCCUCCCCGGCCCGCGUCCGCAUUUUGCCUAAAACCCGAACCGGAGAAUUCCUAUCCCCAACCGGACCCGCCCUCCUCUGUACAGGGUCACCGGAAGAAGAAAAGGCGGCUACCUAAGGAGAUCGAGUCUCUUCCUCAGCCGUUGCAUCCGGAGAUGAUAUACCUGAUCGCUGUUGGACCCGAUCUUGCUCAGGGACAGAGUAUAUGCUGUUCUGUCGCGUCGGCCAUCAGUUAUCCUUCUGCUCUCCCGAUUCUUCUCCACUACGUUUGUGAUUAGCAAUUUUGUGGGGAUUGGAAAUCACGUUGAGUCCCUCGAGAUCAUUGAGUCAAUCUGAUCUGUUUUAGGGCAGCUGAGAAGGAGCUCAACUAUACUCGCCGAAUCAUUUCGGUUUCGGGAUGGAUUUGAAGAUUGGUCGUCAUAAUCUCAAUGCUGUUGCCCGGGUAUCCCUCCGAAACAAUGCAAUCUUCAGUAUCACGAUUUAUUUAGAGUGAAUAAAGGUUUUUGUGCAGACGUCUUAAACCUUUAAGUAAUUUUAACUUUAUUCAUUAGUAUUUUGGAAGACCUUAAGAUAUGUCACAGACUUGAAUUUCAUCUGGUUUCAGCUUUGGCGGCCUAUCAUUAUCAUGACCUCUUAUAGUUAAUUAGUGACCCAUCAUUUUACUAUGAAGAUGAAUUUCUUUUGAUGACAAUUGCAUGCAGGGUGUUGGUGGAUUUGUUUUCAGAAAUGAGAACUCUGCUUCAAACGAAGACAGGCAAUCAGCUAUGAUUGAUCUCCAGUUGCUUGUUGCGGAAAGCCAGGCUGCUCAGAUAACAUUUGGGGCUAUGGGAUUUCCUGUUCUUCUUAAUGUUUCUAAAGAAAGAACAUGAUGAUGUCAAACUGAUACAAAGUGCGCUAGAAACUAUUCUAAGUGUCUUAACACGAAUUCAAACUGCACAAGCGCAGAAAAAUGUGUUUCAACCAGCUUUAGUGAAUUCAGAUCUUAUUUCCAGAGAAUCAGAG